GCUCCAAGUCUCUCUUUCAUUGUCAUAUAGUAUCAAUCCACUAUAGUGUACAUUGCAUGACGUACUACGGAGGGGCGGAGCGAGAAGGAGAGACUUGUCAACUUCGGAAAAUCUCGGUUGAAAACUGAACAGAAAAUGCAAGACUUGCUUUAAUUGUUUUCCUUCAAUUUCUUUCUGUAUUAUUUACUAUAAUGGAACUCAUGUUAUUUACACUGUGCUAGAUCAAUACAUAUAAACACUGACAGAAAACGAUUAAAGCAAG
rnacentral:lncRNA from 1 species